AUAACUCUGCUUCUGCUUCUCUUUUAAGAUGCAGAUGUCCCAGGGGGUGCGAUCUCCACCGGGUCCCUUUCCCAGUGGAGCAAAGACCCAGGUUCAUAAACCGAAGGUUGGGUUGGGGGUAAAGGAGAAGAAAAGAGCUCGGAAAGACAGUGGUGCACAGAAGGUGAAUUCUGCACAUGAGUCGAGGGCAGAGAUCGACCUGGAUGGUGCGUCUUGAAAUUCGCAGCCAGCAAGGCCAGAUGGUUUCAGCAGACAACGCUGGACACACACUCAUGUGUCUGGGUUUUUCUUUUCUUUUUCCAUUUUGUUUCCUGGACUGAAAGCACAAAAGUAGGGCUGUGCAGUCCCAAUCCAGACACCUGGCAGUGCCCACGGAGACUGACUGGGAGCCGACAGAGUCCUCUGGGCCAGCAGAAACACAAACAGCCACACCCUCUCCAACGCCACUCGGGCUCGGGCCGGCUUCCAGAUUUCCAGCACGGAUCCCAUCCUUAGGGGAGAGCGGGGAGUGCCAGCCACAGUCACGCUCCCUGGGAGUGCUCCCCGUGCUCAGGGGCCCCAGACCCACCCUGAGCUCUCGUCCCGCCUGCCCUCCAUGGCAACUGUGAUGGCGGUCAUCCCUGGUUUACUGAUGAGAAAACAGACAAGAGCUGGGGGAAGGUCAUUGCGUGGGGACAGAGGCUAGAGGGCGUCCACUCCAAACAGUGAGGAUUCUGUGCAGAGGAAGUUCCUGUCCUCAUGUUGCACCCAAGUCUAAGCCACCUAAGACAGGUACGGAGGCCCCACCGUGUGGGAUCCCCCGCACCCUCCAGCUUGGGGCUUCACCCAUCUUCACCACGGCCAAGAUGGCCACAUGGGCGCCACAAACCAGCCAGCAGGAAGAGAAAAGGGAAGGGACGGGACCGCGGUCCUGCGGAAGAGCAGACACUUUCGUGAGUCACUUCUGCUCCCGCCUCCCUGGUCAGAAGUUGGCCACCCUGGUGUGUCUGACCUGAAUCCAGGCCACAGGGCUCUACCCCGCAGGUGACACAGGUGGCUGUGGGAAU
rnacentral:lncRNA from 1 species